AGUGAACGCUGGCGGCGUGCUUAACACAUGCAAGUCGAACGAUAACGGAUUAUAGCUUGCUAUAAUUGUCAGCUAAGUGGCGCACGGGUGAGUAAUGUAUAGGUAAUAUGCCUCUUACUAAGGGAUAACAAUUGGAAACGAUUGCUAAUACCUUAUACUCCUUAUUAACCUACGUUAAUAAGGGAAAGAUUUAUUGGUAAGAGAUUAGCCUGUAUUGUAUCAGUUAGUUGGUGGGGUAAUGGCUUACCAAGACUAUGACACAUAACUGGUGUGAGAGGAUGAUCAGUCGCACUGGAACGGAGACACGGUCCAGACUCAUACGGGGGGCAGCAGUGGGGAAUAUUGCACAAUGGACGAAAGUCUGAUGCAGCAACGCCGCGUGGAGGAUGACACAUUUCGAUGCGUAAACUCCUUUUAUAAGAGAAGAUAAUGACGGUAUUAUAUGAAUAAGCACCGGCUAACUCCGUGCCAGCAGCCGCGGUAA
rnacentral:rRNA from 1 species